GAAAAGAGACAGCAGGGGUCAGUGGGUUGUUUGUGGUAGCUCAGCACAGACCCUCAGAUGCACUCUGAAGAAGCUCCUAACUGGAUGAAUGGAGACAAACCAUCAACGAAGAAAGAAACUGGAUAGUGUUUCACAAGCAGGUUUGGACAUUGCCCAGACAGACAGCUUGAUAUUGGCGGCGUGUAGGAAAAAGGGGGAAGAUACAGAGAGAAAAGGCAUGAGGGUUAUGAGGAGGACGAGGAGAGAGCAUGGAGGUCAAAGUAUGCUCACCAGGUGCUGGAUGUGUCGAGAAGGAGCCGUCCCUCUACGCUGCUGGAUGUGAGGAAGGAGUGGUGAUA